AGAGACAGAGGAAAGGCUGAAGGUUGAGUUGAUUACCAGUAGCUCACGAUAUAAUCAUUCAUGCCUACAUAACACAGCUUUCAUAAGAACCCAAUAGGACAGGGUUCAAGGACCCUCUAAAGAAUGCCACACCUAUAGAGGCAUGGAAACUCUUUGCCACUUUCAUCUGACUAUUGAUCUAUAUCCUUUGUAAUGCCUCUUAUAAGAAAUGGGCAGAUUCUAGCAGUGUUUGUGAGAAAAACUGAUGGAUCCUGCAGAUUAACUAUGGACAGCCAAAUAUUGAGUAAAGUGAUGUCUACAACAGCAUCAGCUAUGCCUGAUAUGGUGUUAAUUCACAUUGUGAAGUUCCAAAAUCAGAAGAUGAUACAGAAAGAUUGCUCUGGUUGCCUGGUUUCUGAAGAAAUCGUGUACCCUGUCUGGAUAGUGUCUUACUUCCUAUCCACAAAGUUGUGAAAUAAUCUGGAAUUAAAUGGCAACCUAAACAACCCUAGAGUUGCCUGAACACAGAGCCAUUGCUGUGUUGAUCAUUAUAGCAGAACACUGACUAAUACUCAUACUUUGGGCAAUGUGUUAAGAAGAGGAAAUUUCAAAGUAGACUUAUCAGUAUCAAUGAAAACAAAACACUUACAAAUUCAGUGGCAGCCAGAAACAAACAAGGGGAUGCCCCUUGUUCACUAAGUGGAAGUGGCCACUUGGCUAAAUGAGAUACACGGUUAUGGAGGAAUUCAAACAAUGCAAAAGAGAGAAAAAGAGGAAUCUCUUUGUUGGCCUCACUAUCAAGCAUGCACUUUUUCUUGCUGCCGUCUGUGGAACAAUUGCUGAACUAUUGAAAACUGCACACCAAGGUCCUCAAUAGGAAAAAGAUGCCUCCCUGGUCGACCUUCCUGGAAAGUAUGCAUAUCAUUACUGCUUAGAUUUUGUUGGAGAGAAAUCACACUACCAUCAAAGACAACGGGUCAAAAAGAAUGCCGUCCUAAGCUGAGAAGCCAUCUUCCUAACGACAGCCAUGUAAUAUGAAAGGGAAAAACACACUGUUAUUGAAGAACUUAUCAGCUAUGUCACAUCUUCCACACAAAUACUCAGGAAAGUUAAAAGAAAAUUUUACCUCGGACACAGUUGAUGUACCUCAGUCUUGUACAAAACUUAGAACUCACUAAGUCUGAAAUAAGACUUUAAACUCUCUCUGAGGUGAAGUUGUAAUACAGUGAGAAUGAUAAUAUAUAGUAUAUUAGGAUUUACUUACUCCUGUGUUGUUCUGGACUAUAGACUGCCACACAUAUCAGAUGCACAUGACUGACAUGUAUAUCUUCAUUUUGCUAUUAUUUGUGGUGAACUAAUACAGGAUUUACUGUAAAAGUAUAAUAAUGCAGUAGCAAUAUACUAAUAAAUCAAUGCAGUUAAUAUACAA
ensembl:lncRNA LINC02109 long intergenic non-protein coding RNA 2109